UCUACGGUGCGCAGCAGUGGGGAAUAUUGCACAAUGGGGGAAACCCUGAUGCAGCGACGCCGCGUGAGUGAAGAAGCGUUUCGGCGCGUAAAGCUCCGUCAGCGGGGAAGAAACACGGUUCGCGAGAGCCGCGGACGGUACCCGACCAAGAAGCCCCGGCUAACUACGUGCCAGCAGCCGCGGUAAUACGUAGGGGGCAGGCGUUAUCCGGAUUCACUGGGUGGAAAGGGAGCGUAGACGGCGAGACAAGUCUGGAGUGAAAGGCCGGGGCGCAACCCCGGGACUGCUGUGGAAACUGGCUGGGUGGAGUACAGGAGAGGUAAGUGGAAUUCCUGGUGUAGCGGUGAAAUGCGUAGAUAUUAGGAGGAACACCAGUGGCGAAGGCAGCUUACUGGACUGUAACUGACGUUGAGGCUCGAAAGCGUGGGGAGCAAACAGGAUUAGAUACCCGAGUAGUC
rnacentral:rRNA from 1 species